rnacentral:rRNA from 1 species
GGACUACAGGGGUUUCUAAUCCUGUUCGCUCCCCUAGCCUUCGCACAUCAGCGUCAGGUACAACCCAGAGUGCCGCCUUCGCCACUGGUAUUCCUGCGGAUAUCUACGCAUUUCACCACUACACCCGCAAUUCUACACUCCUCUGUUGCCCUCCAGACGACCAGUCUCAGCCGACCCUUCCCAGUUGAGCCGGGAGCUUUCACAGCUGACUUAAUCAUCCGCCUGCGUGCGCUUUACGCCCAGUAAAUCUGGAUAACGCUUGCACCCUACGUAUUACCGCGGCUGCUGGCAC